AUUGGUGCUUGCAUCAUGAUUUACAUUUGAGUGAGUGGCGAACUGGUGAGUAACACGUGGGAAACCUGCCCAGAAGCGGGGGAUAACACCUGGAAACAGAUGCUAAUACCGCAUAACAACUUGGACCGCAUGGUCCGAGUUUGAAAGAUGGCUUCGGCUAUCACUUUUGGAUGGUCCCGCGGCGUAUUAGCUAGAUGGUGGGGUAACGGCUCACCAUGGCAAUGAUACGUAGCCGACCUGAGAGGGUAAUCGGCCACAUUGGGACUGAGACACGGCCCAAACUCCUACGGGAGGCAGCAGUAGGGAAUCUUCCACAAUGGACGAAAGUCUGAUGGAGCAACGCCGCGUGAGUGAAGAAGGGUUUCGGCUCGUAAAACUCUGUUGUUAAAGAAGAACAUAUCUGAGAGUAACUGUUCAGGUAUUGACGGUAUUUAACCAGAAAGCCACGGCUAACUACGUGCCAGCAGCCGCGGUAAUACGUAGGUGGCAAGCGUUGUCCGGAUUUAUUGGGCGUAAAGCGAGCGCAGGCGGUUUUUUAAGUCUGAUGUGAAAGCCUUCGGCUCAACCGAAGAAGUGCAUCGGAAACUGGGAAACUUGAGUGCAGAAGAGGACAGUGGAACUCCAUGUGUAGCGGUGAAAUGCGUAGAUAUAUGGAAGAACACCAGUGGCGAAGGCGGCUGUCUGGUCUGUAACUGACGCUGAGGCUCGAAAGUAUGGGUAGCAAACAGGAUUAGAUACCCUGGUAGUCCAUACCGUAAACGAUGAAUGCUAAGUGUUGGAGGGUUUCCGCCCUUCAGUGCUGCAGCUAACGCAUUAAGCAUUCCGCCUGGGGAGUACGGCCGCAAGGCUGAAACUCAAAGGAAUUGACGGGGGCCCGCACAAGCGGUGGAGCAUGUGGUUUAAUUCGAAGCUACGCGAAGAACCUUACCAGGUCUUGACAUACUAUGCAAAUCUAAGAGAUUAGACGUUCCCUUCGGGGACAUGGAUACAGGUGGUGCAUGGUUGUCGUCAGCUCGUGUCGUGAGAUGUUGGGUUAAGUCCCGCAACGAGCGCAACCCUUAUUAUCAGUUGCCAGCAUUAAGUUGGGCACUCUGGUGAGACUGCCGGUGACAAACCGGAGGAAGGUGGGGAUGACGUCAAAUCAUCAUGCCCCUUAUGACCUGGGCUACACACGUGCUACAAUGGAUGGUACAACGAGUUGCGAACUCGCGAGAGUAAGCUAAUCUCUUAAAGCCAUUCUCAGUUCGGAUUGUAGGCUGCAACUCGCCUACAUGAAGUCGGAAUCGCUAGUAAUCGCGGAUCAGCAUGCCGCGGUGAAUACGUUCCCGGGCCUUGUACACACCGCCCGUCACACCAUGAGAGUUUGUAAC
rnacentral:rRNA from 2 species